rnacentral:lncRNA from 1 species
AAUUAAUUUCUGCUCUGCAAGCUCUGGGUUUAUAAAAAAAAAAUAAUAAUAAUAACGUUUAAAUAAUAAAAAAUCUGUAUGGUGUUCGUCGUGAAGUUUUAACCCCCUUCUACUUAUAUACAUGUGCUGGUGUAGGCUUCUGUCGCCGCCUCUGUACAUAGAUGUUGUAGUUAGUUGGUUGCGGGACACGUGUCAACGUAACAUGUAUUUGGACACCACGCUCUCGGACUUGACAGAAAAUGGUUCUAGUGAUGAAAGAUAUAGUUAUAUUUUCUACUACAUUACACGUGACAUUCUUACGAAGCACCAACAUAAAGAGCAAACAAAAAAAAAAUCACAAUAACGGAAGAUAAUUCUUGUAUAUAGUUUAUUGACAGAAGUACAAAUCCACUUCUCAGCUGUUGUCUUUUGUGAAUUGUUAACGGAGAGGUUAUAUCUGUUAAGAGUUGUUUAUAGUAAAAAAAAAAAAUGGUGGUAUAUAUAUUUUUUGAUCUGGAAAGUGUGUGUGCCUUAAUAAACCAAUAGGUAUACGUGCGAAUAGGCACCUAUACUAGAAUCGCUGAUGACUUAAAUGAUUUGUUGAGUUUAAUUUUGAAAAUGUUAUGUAUUGUAUAAGUGCCCAUUCGCUGCGUAAUUUAUUGAGGAAUGUCUCAUGAGCACAAACAUACUAUAACACAAAAAUCCCCUAAAAAGUUGUUAAUGGGCUGUUAUCAGCAUGGGAAAAAAAUGGCGUCCGAUUUAGCGAUGUGUCCAUCGUGUCAUUGUCAUCACAUUAUUUUUUUUUUUUCUUCAUUGCUACGUUUAUCAUCAUGGAAAUGGAGGGUGAUGGACCAAAACAAAAAUCCCGUUCACGAGAUGAAAACAUGGGGAAAUCAAAAAACAAAAAAAUAUUAUAAUAUUAACUUUUUUUUUUAAAAAAAAGGGGGAUUACUCGGGGAGAAUUAAAAAAAAUCAAAAUUAUUAUUAUUAUUACUACUACUACUAUUACUACUAUUACUAUUACUAAAGAAUGUUAAAUAAUACCGAGAUUUUUACGCCCUUUGUCGAAUUCUGAACUCUUAAAAGAGUGAUAAUCGCACACUAACAGAGUUCUUAUACAGGUGCCUUCCUAUCUACCAUUGUGUUUUGUUGAUUGUUAUUCCCUGAAUGGUGAUACAUCUUGGAAACGUGGAGGGCUACUGAAUUUAGAAAUAAAAAAAAAAAAAUGUUUAAAUAAAAAAAAAUAUAUAUGGAGAUUUUUAUGGUGUACAAAAUAGAGAUCAUGUGGGAAAAUAGCUGAUAUUGUAAGUUUCAUCACUUCCAUGUUUGUUGUUGCUGUUUACAAAAAAAAAUGAAUUUAAAAAAAAAAAAAAAGGAUUAUGUAUAACUAAAAAAAAUGUCAAAUAUAUAUAUAAAAAAAUAACGUGUAAAAUUUGUGGAUUCUUGUGUCACACAAUCACAGAACCGAGUUUGUUGUGUUUUUUUUUUCUUCUUUUUUUCGUUGACACAUAAGAAUUUAUAUAAAUAACGAGACC